rnacentral:rRNA from 1 species
UACGAAGGGGGCUAGCGUUGUUCGGAUUAACUGGGCGUAAAGGGUGCGUAGGCGGGGUUUUAAGUCAGGGGUGAAAUGCCGAGGCUCAACUUCGGAACUGCCUUUGAUACUGGAACUCUUGAGUCUGGGAGAGGUGAGUGGAACUGCGAGUGUAGAGGUGAAAUUCGUAGAUAUUCGCAAGAACACCAGUGGCGAAGGCGGCUCACUGGCCCGGAACUGACGCUGAGGCACGAAAGCGUGGGGAGCGAACAGG